UGAAACCCUUUGCUCUUCUUGCCCUUGCAAAACAGAUCCGAAUUUUGACGAAGCAGCUUCACCUUGACCAGCGCUGUUCCCUAGACACAGGCAUGCCACCCAAAAAGCAACUGUCGCCGCGAGCAAAGCAGAACGUGCAGCUCACGGCAUCCUACAAAGUUCUUCGGGACAGCUGGAAGGAAAAGGUGGAGCAAAACCGCCAGAGGCUGAAGAAGGAGGAGGAGGAUCGCCGCGCUUUGGUGAUGUGCAGCCUCCAGAGCAACGAGCAGCGGGACCACAAGCUGGGCGGUGACAACGGAAAGGGGUUUUUGCUCUGG